rnacentral:rRNA from 1 species
UACGUAGGGUGCGAGCGUUGUCCGGAAUUAUUGGGCGUAAAGAGCUCGUAGGCGGUUUGUCGCGUCUGCUGUGAAAACUCGGGGCUUAACUCCGGGCCUGCAGUGGGUACGGGCAGACGAGAGUGCGGUAGGGGAGACUGGAAUUCCUGGUGUAGCGGUGAAAUGCGCAGAUAUCAGGAGGAACACCGGUGGCGAAGGCGGGUCUCUGGGCCGUAACUGACGCUGAGGAGCGAAAGCGUGGGGAGCGAACAGG